rnacentral:rRNA from 1 species
UGGGGCAUAUUGGACAAUGGGCGAAAGCCUGAUCCAGCCAUGCCGCGUGUGUGAAGAAUGUCUUCGGAUUGUAAAGCACUUUAAGUUGGGAGGAAGGGCAGUAAGCGAAUACCUUGCUGUUUUGACGUUACCGACAGAAUAAGCACCGGCUAACUCUGUGCCAGCAGCCGCGGUAAUACAGAGGGUGCAAGCGUUAAUCGGAAUUACUGGGCGUAAAGCGCGCGUAGGUGGUUCGUUAAGUUGAAUGUGAAAGCCCCGGGCUCAACCUGGGAACUGCAUCCAAAACUGGCGAGCUAGAGUAGGGCAGAGGGUGGUGGAAUUUCCUGUGUAGCGGUGAAAUGCGUAGAUAUAGGAAGGAACACCAGUGGCGAAGGCGACCACCUGGGCUCAUACUGACACUGAGGUGCGAAAGCGUGGGGAGCAAACAGG